AUGGCUUCCUCUAGCACCGCUGCCGCCGCCGCAUCCGUCCUCAUCCCCAUAGCCAAAAAACUCCAUCGCUCCAACUUUAGUGUCUGGCGUGCGCAAGCCCUAGCCACCAUUCGCGGUGCCCAGCUAGUCUCCUACCUCGAUCCAGAGAGAGAGAUUCCGGCGCCCAAGCUUGUUGACAAGGACAGCAAGCCCACUGACAUUGCAAACUGCACCACGACGUCAGCAGCAUGGACUGCAAUCACAGAGAUAUUCAUCUCCCAGACACAGGCGGCCAUCGUUAACACGAGGAUCGCCCUCUCCACCACCAAGAAGGGGACUUCCACCAUCGCUGAGUACCUUGGCUGCAUGAAGGCCCUUGGCGAUGAGAUGGCUGCCAUCGGCAAGCCGCUCACCAACGAUGACAUGGUGUCGUACAUCCUCGUCGGACUCGACUUAGACUACAUGUCCUUCGUCUCCUCCGUCUGCGCUAGGACCGUCCCCAUCAAGCCCAACGAGCUCUACUCCCAGCUGAUCAGCUUCGAGAGCCGCCUCGCCAUGUUCGAGGGAAACUCAUUGUCAUCCCACUCCUCCGCCAACGCCGCCUCUCGCAACGGCCGUGGUGGCUUCACUCGUGGAGGCCGCGGCAGGAACGGAGGUGGCCGUGGCCAUGCUGGUGGCCGCAGCAAUGGACGCAACAGUGGCCGUGGCCAUGCAGGAGGCGGUGGCCGCGACGAUCUCCCGGAGGUCUUCUGUCAGAUCUGCAAGAAGUCAAAUCACAUGGCUAUCGAGUGCUACCGGCGCUUUGACAUCGCAUUCACCAAGGAGAAGAGUGCAAGCGCUGUAUUCCGGGUGCAGGCCAUGUUUCGUCGGGUAUUUGUCGCCGCCGGGACGUCCCUGUUACGCCGGUUCUGCAGCCAGUCCAUGGCGGCCGGGUCGCCGUCGAGGCCUGGUGGAGCAACCAUGUUACGCCGGUUCUACAGCCUGACGGCAACGGCCAGCUCGCCGUCAAGGCCUGCCGGAGCAACCCUGUUCCACCGGUUCCACAGCCAGACAACAGCGGCUGGGUCGCCGUGGAGGCCUGCGGGAGUAACCAUGGUACGCCGGUUCGGCAGCAAUGCUGCCGUGGCCGGGUCGCUGUCGAGGCCAGCCGGAGCAAGAAUGAUACGCCAGUUCUGCAGCCAGGCCGCGGUGGUCGGGUUGCGCCGGUUGUGCAGCCCUGCCACGGCGGCCGGGUCGCUGUCGAGGCCUGCAGGAGCUAGGAUGCUACAGCUACAAUUUCAGAGGAAAAUUGGGCAUGUUGCAGCUACCGCCGGCCACCGCUUCGGCUUCUUUCGCAGAUAUGCCAUGCCUAUGGUGAUGGUUGCCUUUGGUGUUGGGCUUUGGUGUAUGAAGAAGAAUGCAGAGCUUGCUGAGAGGGCUGCCCGUCCGUCAAAGGUUGAUUGGGUUGAAGCCGGAGUUGUCUCUCCGGUCGUGAGAAACCAAAAGGAUUGUGGGAGCUGUUGGGCCAUGGCAGUUGCAGCUUCGGUCGAGGCAGUAAAUUACCUCAAGACUUGGCGAUCAAUCAGGUUGUCAGUUCAAGAGCUCGUCGACUGCAACAUACAGAACUACGGGUGUAAUGGUGGCGACUACUGGUAUGCUUUCCGCUAUGUAAAGGAAAAUGGGCUCACAACAGAAUCUUCAUACCCAUACAAGGCUCGGCAGGGUAUAUGUCGCAAACUGGAUAAAAAAGUAGAAGGAAGGAUAUCGAACUUCCGCUAUGUCCGCCGAAACGAGGAUGCAUUGGAGAAAGCGGUAGCAAAGCAACCCGUGAUCGUCACUGUGCAAGGUGAUCAUUUGCAGUGGUACAACGGAGGCAUCAUGGACUACAAAUUUGAUAAAAGACUUACCGGCUGGCACGCUGUCUUGGUCGUCGGUUAUGGCACAGACUCCAGAGGUGUCAAGUACUGGCGCAUCAAGAAUUCAUGGGGAAAAAGUUGGGGUGAAGGGGGGUUUGGGAGGAUCCGAAGGUAUGUUGACGAUAAGAGAGGCGCUCUGGGCAUUUUCGUUUAUAGACCAGUAUAUCCUGUGCUUAGGACUUGA
rnacentral:rRNA from 1 species